UUGGUUCCCUCUUGGCCAUAAUUCUUAUCAGAACUGUACAGUAUAAUUUGUCUAAACUUCGGCUAUGAUCGUUAAACUUAGUUGGACUAUUAGCUCAGUCUCUGUCUCACCUAUAUGAAACUUCUCUGCUGACUGAUAAUUUAUUUUGGAAAUUACAUAUAUAUUUUAUAAAAUAAAAUCCUAUAUACAGGUAAAUUAAUAUGAUUCUCUGUUCUCAUGACUUUGUUAUUGAUGAUACUGACGUGACAUCUUUCCCUUUUAUUGGAUUACUUUGUCCCUAGUUUUUAGCAUAUAAAAACUAUGAUGUUCGUCUCUACACAUCAUAGUUUUUAGCUUUGCUUCAAUUUGAGUGUUUUUUUUAUAUUUUUUUAGUUCCCCUUUCAUGUGAAAAAUUACCUGAUAGCUAUUUGUUAUGAAGGCCAUUUUUGUUUCAGCUAAUGUUUAUGUUGCCUUUGGUUUGGGUUUUCUAAUGGUUUAUAUAAAGGAGUUGACCUUUCUUGGUUUUCUUUGUCUGGGUUGAAGGAAUAGGUUUGCUUAGAGCUAUAGAGUUUAUACUUUUAUCGGGUCUAAUUAGAUUUUUUCGGGUUUGAAGGUUUGAUGUGAAGGGCUAUGUGACGGGGUUUGAGAGUCCUGACUGGAAGAGGACACAUGAGGAGGCAGAAUGGAUCACAUGUUGCAAGAAUCUCAGUUUACGAGGUUUUGUAAGACGCAUCUUAUCUAUAGUGGACUUCAAUGAAGAUGGGAUGCUUUCAUUGUCUGAAUUUUUUGAUCUAAUCGAUGCUUUUGGCAAUCAAUUAGCAACCAACAAGGAUGCACUUUAGAGGGUAGAGUAAAGGAUAAAAGAUCCACGAAGGGCAGCCAAACAACUAGCCACCGAGGCAUUGAACACAGAGAGUAAAGAUGUUUUGAAUAUAGAGUUUAUGUUUUGAAUUAUAGUUGAUAUAUCAAUACACUUUGUUGAUGUAAAUGGUUGUUACUUAGUAUUAUAGUUGAUGUAUUAAUACACUUUGUUGAUGUAUGGUUG